GCAAGGCUGAAUACUGUGUUCUUUUUUUUAGUAGUUUACACAGCCAGACACCAUGCAAAGGUAAAGUCUUCUCUUUAAAAUGCCUACAACGGAUGGUAUGUAAGUUUGUUCAUAGCGUAUCAUUCAUUAAAAAUAAGAAAGAAA
ensembl:snoRNA